AGAUUCCAUGAGCUACACAACAUCUUGGGAAUAUAUUCCUUCUCUGCCAUAACUAGCCAAGUGUUUUCUGCUGCUUGUGAACCAGGACUCUGAAGUACUCCAAGGUCUUGGGAGGUGUUGGAGCCAAAAUAUAGAAGAAUCCUGGGAGCAUGAGUCGCCCCAUGGAGGAGCUCCAAGUGUCAAUCUGGGACACCCAUACCUGACUGAGCAAUAAACAUUCCAUUGCCAUGAA